rnacentral:rRNA from 1 species
AACGAACGCUGGCGGCAUACCUAACACAUGCAAGUCGAACGAACCCUUCGGGGUUAGUGGCGCACGGGUGCGUAACGCGUGGGAAUCUGCCCUUUGCUUCGGAAUAACUCAGGGAAACUUGUGCUAAUACCGGAUGAUGUCUUCGGACCAAAGAUUUAUCGGCAAGGGAUGAGCCCGCGUAGGAUUAGGUAGUUGGUGGGGUAAAGGCCUACCAAGCCGACGAUCCUUAGCUGGUCUGAGAGGAUGAUCAGCCACACUGGGACUGAGACACGGCCCAGACUCCUACGGGAGGCGGCAGUGGGGAAUAUUGGACAAUGGGCGCAAGCCUGAUCCAGCAAUGCCGCGUGAGUGAUGAAGGCCCUCGGGUCGUAAAGCUCUUUUACCAGGGAUGAUAAUGACAGUACCUGGAGAAUAAGCUCCGGCUAACUCCGUG